UUCAGAUCCUGCGUACCUAUCCAAGAUAAUUAAGACAUCGUAAUAUCAUCAGUGUGACCGACCCCACAAAAGGAAGUUGUAGAAGGUGAUAAGGUUAUCAUUCACAUCUCCAGGUGAUUUGAGAAGAUGGCUGUCUGGAGCGGUAGAUAAAGACUCACUGGACUGUUAACAGAGGAAAAGGAAUUCCAAGGAGGCUUGGAAAUUCGUUAUUAGGAAGCAAGAAUCAUGGCUCUCAGGAUUUAUUGCAUGCUCAGUUGGAUGCAGUGAGUCAAAACUGAGGCAAGGACAAUCUUGUGGCAGUGUGGGCUUUGUGAAGAAU
rnacentral:sRNA from 1 species